rnacentral:rRNA from 1 species
AACGUAGGAGCCAAGCGUUAUCCGAAUUCACUGGGCGUAAAGCGCGUGCAGGCGGCUGGGUAAGUUGGAUGUGAAAUCUCCUGGCUCAACUGGGAGAGGCCGUUCAAUACUACCUGGCUUGAGGGCGACAGAGGGAGGUGGAAUUCCAGGUGUAGCGGUGAAAUGCGUAGAUAUCUGGAGGAACACCGGUGGCGAAGGCGGCAUUCUGGACCGACAUUGACGCUGAGGAGCGAAAGCCAGGGGAGCAAACGGG